CUACACGGGUUUCUAAUCCUGUUUGCUCCCCACGCUCUCGCGCCUCAGCGUCAGACACAGUCCAGGUGGCCGCCUUCGCCACUGAUGUUCCUUCCGAUCUCUACGCAUUUCACCGCUACACCGGAAAUUCCGCCACCCUCUACUGUACUCUAGUCUUGGAGUUUAAAAUGCUGUUCCUAGGUUAAGCCCAGGGCUUUCACAUCUUACUUCCAAAACCUCCUACGCGCCCUUUACGCCCAGUAACUCCGAUUAACGCUUGCACCCUCUGUAUUACCGCGGCGGCUGGCAC
rnacentral:rRNA from 1 species